GUUGAAACCGCCCUGAACAUCUUUGCUCCAUAGUUGAGACACAACUAGGAUGGAAAUAGUUACAGUUGGUUAACUCUGGCCAAGUGCAGCCAACGGUGCUUGGUUUCCUCUCAACGUAUUGCCUUGAAAUGGUGUCACAACUUGCCAAGGGAAGCCUUAUAAAUAUGGGAAGCCAGCCAUCCACUGCCAAUAUCUAGGGGUCAUUUGUAUUGUCUAUUUCUUCCCAGAGCUUCUUCCCUUCACCAGGUGGACCAUGAAGAUCGCUCACCUGUUCUUGCUGGCUGUGUCUUGGCUGCUCCUGGCUUCUUCAGGGUUGGCCUCCAGACCACGAAACGCGAGGGAGUGUCAUCAAGCCAACGGCAGUUGCAAGUGGUUCGGGUGUACCUUCCCCUUGGUGCGGAGGGGAAAGUGUGGCUUUAUCAAGAAAUGCUGCAUCAGCCAUGAGAACAACUAAAGGGGACAUCAGAUGCCCACCGGCUCAGCAGUGAUCGUUCGGAUUAAGGGAGAUGACCUUCUGAUUGACACUCACUGCAUCCUGUUCUGUUUUCUGCUUCUUCCUUUUAAAACCUUGCCUGGCAAUUUCAUCCACCCCGUCGCCAAAACUUGCUUAUUGACCAAACCGUGUAUCAUCUGCAAAGGAAAUCUAUAAGCUUUUUGCCUUUCCAAUAAAGCACAUUGAAAAUGUAAAUAUUUUGCACAUUUGUUUCUGUUG
rnacentral:lncRNA from 11 species